CAAAAUGCUACUAAAAUGACAGCAAAGAAGCCAAAAAGGCCCAAGUCCACAAGACAGAAAGAAUAGGUGAAAAGUCCAUGUCAUCUCAUUUUUGGAGAUGGACAUGGACAGGGGCUGAAACUGCAGUACCAGCAGAUGGGGAGCUUAAGAAGGAAGCUAGUUCAUGGCACAGCACCCGUAAAGUCCCCAGAAUUGGAGGCACCAGAUUCUUCUGAAAGAAAAGGGAGCAAUUCAGCACUUGUCAUGCAGAUAAGAGGUCAACACCCCAGGACGGAGUGAAAACCUAAGGUUUGUAUUUUUGAUACACAAAGUGCUCUUUUGGAGGAAACCAAAAAAUGUCGAGUUUCUGGCAAGGUAUGGAAACAGGACAGAAGGAGACCAGAGUCGAAGCACCAGAGGGCAUAGAUGUGGAAAGUGGUCCUAGUUAGGAGCUGUUGCCCAGGAAAUGUUGAGGGCACAAGCUGUAAGCAGGACCACAGUGAAGACAGCUAGUGUCAAAAGCCCUGCCAAGCCAGUCCUUCACAAGGGCUGUCCAGCCUUUAGCAUGGGGGACUCAGCAUGGCAGGCCUGUACCUAGUAAAAUUUCUGUCUUCCCAGUGGUGACAAUCGGCUCCUUCCGCACCUGUAAGAGCAAAUUUGGUUCUGCCACUGUCUGAUUGCCUGGUGCUCACAGUUCACUUCCCUGUCAAGCCAGGUCAUCCUAAUACCAGAGAGGACUUCACUUCUCCCUAGCAAUGACCAAUUCUGUGAAACUGAUUACUCCAAACUGUAUGUAUAGACUUAGCAAUGAGGAAAGGCUUUGCCAGAUCAUCUUUUAAAACUAAACCUCAACUUCGAUGUGCUCUCUGUGCUCCAACCACACCUGUCUUUUUCCUUGUUCCUCAAUGGUGUCAUGUUUCUGUUACAGGGUCUUAGCAUAAGCUAUUUCUUCUGCCUGGAGGGCGCAUCCCCCAACCAUCACAUGACUGGCCACAUUGCUCAGACUUUAGCCUAGAUGUCACCUCUUCAGAGAAGCCUUCUCUGACCACCUUAUUUAAUGUUGAUCACUCCACCUGCAGCCCAAACACCAGCUAAUAAAUUCCCUCCUACUCCUCCAUCGUUUCUUUAAUUUUUAUGCCUCAUGUGAAAAGUAUCGAGUCAAUCACAUACUUCAGUUCAUGGUAUAAUAUUAUUACAUUUCUUUCGUGGAUAUUUUCCCCAUUCAUCCCUGGUUUCCAUUUCCGUUACCUCUCCUUUCACAUAUUCAUUCACUAUAAGGCAUUACAUAUAUAUCCUUGUCUAAAAAUGUAAUAUUGUCAAAUGUAAGUUAUUAUUUGGUAUAUCAUAUGUUUCACAAAUAGUAUUGUGCAAUAGACCUUGCUCUAGUUAUUAUGUUUUGUAUUCACCAGUGUGUUCUAAAGACCCAUCUGUAUCUGUUAUAUAUGUAGGUACACUUGGUUCAUUGCUUCUAACUGAUCCUUGGUAUCCCGUAGUGUGCAUUCAUCCCUGCUCUGGAUACAGUCAGCUCCCAAAUUCCAUAAACAACUCCUUUGUAAGUAACCUCCUUUUGACAGGGGGUAGAAUUGCUCAGGGUCCAGAUGCUCCCAUUAUUAUCUGUUCCUCACCCUGGCCAGGCUGUGGCACUGCCCUGAUAUUAUCCCAUCACCUCCGUGUAGCAGAUAUUUUGUCUCAAGGUGGUUCCAGGCCAGGCGAUUAUCUGCCAAGGACAGUGGUUAGAGAGAGGAAACAGCCUGCAACUCUGCCUGCACCAUGUCCUAACAGUGACUUUCUCUGCUCAGCCUAUGGUUUACCCACAGCAGGUCACAGCCACCCUUUCUCUCUGCCCAGUGGUUUCUUAUGGUUUUUACCUAGAUUUACGUCGACUUGCAGAUCAGUACACUCCUCUCCUGCUUCUGAGGCAACAUCAGGGUUGGAAUUUGUGGAGUUCCUUAUAGUCUUCAUAAUGCUAAUCACUACCUGAAAUUAUCAUCUUUUUAAUUGGUUUACUUGCUUAUUGUCUGUCUCCCUCACUGUAAGACUGUAAAUGCCACAUGAGCAAGGACCUUAUCUGAACACCUUCCUAGGUUUGGGGAUAUCCCACCACAUGCAUACCACUGAGGGGCAGAGAUGCCUUCCAGUGUAGAAACAGCUAGGACCAUAUAGUCACAGCCCCAGGCAGCUUCACAGCUAAGGCACGGGCAUUCCUUCUCUAUUUGGCCAUCAGACCGACCUGUGAAUCCCAAGUUGGAGAAAUGAAGUCACCAAGGCAGUGGAGAAUUCAGUGGUCGGGGCAGCUGUAGUGGCAGCAGUAGUGCCUGUGGCAACAGUUUCAGGAGUAGCAGUUGGUAUCCUGCCUCCAAAGACAGAAUGUAGGUCCACCAGCAGCACCGCCUUUACCAGACUGGUACUAGGACCUAAUUUUGGAAGUGGUUCUUCCUAUCGAGACUUUGGGCUACCUAAUAUCCUUUCAACAAAUUUGUUAUUUCCUAAAUCAGUCAGAAUCAACUUUUAGUGUGUAAACUGAGAACCCUCAGUAGAACUAUUAGCCACAAUGUCCGCUUUUAUUGUCUAAGUCCAUUUGAGCUGAACUUUCUGUAACUUGAAGACAGAAGCUCCCUAACUCAGGGGUCCUCAACUCCCAGGCCACACAGCAGGAGGUCAGCAGUGGGCUGGCUAGCAGGGGAGGCUUCAUCUGUAUUUACAGCCGCUUCCCAUCACUCGCAUCACCGCCUGAGCUCUGCUUCCUUCAGAUCAGCAGUGGCAUUACAUUCUCAUAGGAGUGGGAACCCUAUUGUGAACUGUGCUUGUGAAGGAUCUAGGUUGUGUGCUCCUUAUGAGAAUCAAUGAAUCAUCCCCAAACCAUCCCCCACCCUUAUCCUGUCCAUGGAAAAAUUGUCUUCCACGAAACCAGUCCCUGGUGCCAGAAAGAUUGGGACAACUGCCCUAACUGAUGUAAGAGUAUGGGCAAUAAGUGUUUUCAGUGCACUGAGUGAUUAAAGAUUGUUGGGGCAGGGUGUGUGCAAGUUGAACUUAGCUCAGUGCAUCCACUGGCAAGGAGGUGGUAGCAGGAAAUAGGCAUGUGGUGACUUCAGUAACAGAGACGACUGCAGGGCUGACCUAAGCUUAGUAGCCUGGCUUCUCCGGGAGCUGAGGGUGAGCAUCAUGCCUGCUCCAUCUCCCUCUUUGUUGUGGAUAAGGCAGGUAGGAAGAAUGACGGAUUGCCUUACCCUUUCUAAUUGUUGUGUGCUCUCCAUACCCCACCCAAUCCUACUUCAACAUUGUCACCUAAGGAUUCACAAACCCACCCUUGUGCGAAUCCAGCCGUCUGUGUUCUAGACUGGCAAGGACCAUAUCUGAUUCUGAGAUGCUCAGGAAGGUGUGCUCCCAAUUGGCCCUUGUCCAGACUAGUUUACUUGCUGAGUAUCCCCAGGGCACAGGAACAAUCAUUUGGGGUUGCGGCUUUGUUCAUAGGGUCAUCAAGACAGGAGGAUAUGAGGCAGAAUCACCACACAAGGUAAGAGUACAUUUAGAAAUUCUCUUGAGUAAAUAAUACUGGCUUUAUCACUAUGCUUAUUUCUGUGUUUCUACUUGCUCUCAGAGUAUUUUGUAUUUUGUAUAUAAGUCCAAUAUCGAAAACACCCAUCCUGCCACUACAAGAAAAGUUUUGCCCAAGAAUGAACCAACGUAGAGAAAAACAGAGCUAAGACAAACCAAGGCUAACUGCUGAUUUAAGUCCCUAGAUCCAGCUAUUCUUGAAGCCUUCUCAGUUACACAAACCAAUAAUACUUACUUUUUUUACUUAAACUAUUUUCUGUUUCCAUUACUUACAACCAAAAUAGUCCUGAUUAAUACAUAGAAUAAUGUGAAUUUUUAUUUUUAUUCUGAUUUUUAUUCUGACUUUAUAAAAAAGAACUUUUACAAUUAUCCAUUAUGCUUGGAUAAAUGCGUGUGUAAAUAUUUGUUUGGGGUGGAGGAUGUACACUGAAAUGUUAACAUUAGAUUUCUGCGGAGGAUGAGUUGGAAGGAAUGAAGGAGACAUUAAUAUCUUUUUCUGGCAGGGCACGGUGGCUCACACCUGUAAUCCCAGCAUUUUGGAAGGUGGAGGUGGGCGGAUCACCUGAGGAAAAAAAUCUUUUUCUUUGUCACCUAUGCAAUGUUUGACCUGCAAGUGCUUGUAUCUUUUGUAAUUGUUUAAAUCCCUCAAAAUUUUAAAUGAGUAUUGAAUAUAUUUUGUGUUUUUCCAAAUAUAAGAUUCUAUAAAGAAGAGAAUGAUGUAAGUGACCCGGGGGCAAUGGGGGGAGCUUAAAUUUGAAACUAGAAAAAAUUUUGAACAAAAUAAUCAUAAUUGUUAGCUGAUGAAAAACUAGAAAAUAUUUUCUGAGUAAAUUCUUGAUUUCAGAAAUUAACUAUAAUUUAUAUUGCUCUUAAUAUCUUACCCUUGAAUAUAAAUGAUUAAUGCCCUUUAAAAUGUCCUUUUUUCUAGCUAACCUGAUGUACAUAUGACAUUAAUCCAAUAGACUUAGGAAUAAGAUACAGGGGGUUUUCCUGAAUGAUUCGAGUAUAUCCCCAUUCAUAUUAAGAAAACAAAGUAUUGGCCAAGCGUGGUGGCUCACGCCUGUAAUCCCGGCACUUUGGAAGGCCGAGGCCAGUGGAUCACCUGAGGUAAGGAUCACUAAGACCAGCCUGUCCAAUAUGGUAGAUUAAGUGAAGUGACUCCAAACCUAAAAUCCUAUAAUUACGGAAUGUCUGUUUAGAUUGGUGCUUGGUCUUCUUUUUCCCUCUUCUAGAUUGGGAAGAGAGCUUUCUGAACUGCAAAUUAGGAAGGCCUUGGCUUGUUUGUCUGUGGUAAAGCAAACAGAUUUGAAGAGGACAUCUAUUUAGCUACCAUUUGUUUUGUUUAAUCUGAGAUUAGGCCUAGGUUUGCAAAAGAAAUCUACUAAAUUUAGAGUAAACAGAAUUCUUUAAGGCAGCAUUGCUUGAUGGUAUUUUCUUCUUAUAGCCUCUUCUGAGUGGUUUGUGAUUAAGGGAUAAAAAAGUGACUAUUUUAAGCUCUGAAAAAUGUGAGUACACAGUUUUGGAGGAAAUAGAAGGUAAAUUGAUCAAAUAAUUUACUAGGGAACCUCAAAAUGGUAGCAUAUGAUCUUUAAAUGAUUUUUUUUUAAACUUGUAAUAAUUCCUUUGAAGAUCUACUGGCUGUUUUUAACCACUGACCAUCACCUAAGGGAAGACCAUGUGACUCGUUACUAUAAUGGCCUGCAUAAAAAACAAAAACAAAACAAAAAAACCCUCAGGGAAGAGAAGACUUACAACUAUGACCUCAUUUCUAAUUGGACUGUGGUGAAAAAGAAACUAGUCAUAGCUGAAACUAGGGGCCAGGAGGGCUGCUUGCCUCUCCUGGGCAACCUGUAGUUGGCGAAACUUUAACUCUACGUAUAAAGAGACCAUUUUUUACAGCGAGUUUGGGGUAAAUUGUGUAAAGUCUCAAAGGGACCUAAUACAGGACAUUUCCUACAUUCCGAAUUUGACACUUUAAGGAAGACUGCGAUAGGUAAUGUGACCUUCCACCUUAGAGAUAGUAUCAUUCAUUAAUGAAGGGUAUUUAGUUUUGUUUUUAUAACUCCAAUAAAUUUAAGAAAUGUCUUGGUGGUCCUUGAAAGUGGAAAAACAUAUUUAUAUGCCAUAUUUUUCUUCCUGCUGCUCUGUCUUCUUGGAGAGCCUGCCUGGAGCAACCAGGUAAGUUGAAAGGAGUAAGGACUUGGGGCCAGGCAGCCAGACAGACGUGCGUUCACAUUUCAGCAUUCACAUUCAUGAAUUCAGUAGUUCAGUAGUUCACUAGUUCAGUCAGAGACUGGAUGAGUGUGAGCGUGAAACUUAUGCUCCCUGUUUCCCCAGAUGUUAAGUGAAAUCAAUAAUAAUUACAUUGAGGAGAUGUGAAAAUAAUGAAGUAACAUAUGCAGAGUGCCUAGUUCAUAGUAGAUGCUUGAAAAUGAUGCUGUCCUUCCUCUUUCCCUUCUGUCUGCCAUCCUUCAGAUGGACUCAACGACUCUCUUACCGUCCAGCUCUCAAGUCCCUUCUCUUGUGAAAAUGGAAAAGUUGAACUACAGUUGAGAUAUUAUUCCCAGGUGUUCUUUGGAACACAGGGGAUUUCUCCAAAAGGCACAGAACAAAUUGCCUCCAAACAGCCAAGAUUCCAGCAGAAGCUGGAGUAGCAGACUACUUGGAUCUUCAAAGUACCUGGCCCUGAGUCAGUUAAGGAAGAUCUUUUCUUCUCUUUUGUACAAUCCUAUGAUGAGAGCUGCAAAGUGAACUGACUAAGAGCUUCUGCCUUGAUCAUUGACCUCCCAAUCCUAAUAAUAUGUUCACUGGCCAAACUUCCUAAUCGAUUUGUCUUUUGGAUAUAACGUUCCUCCUACUGUUUGCCUGAUUGAGAAAUCUGCUACAGAACAUGACCGGUUAGCAUUCCCACCAACCCCAGUGCUACACUGACUGUCUUUCGAUGGACUUUGCUCCUUGCUGCCUCUCUGAGGUCCCAGACCUUCAGAGUGACCUUCACAGCUCUGCCUAACUUUCUGUCAUACUUCUAUCAAGAGAGACAGCUAAAUCAAUAUUUUUAAUGUGCUUUGCUGUCGGAAUUCGAUGAUCUGUCACAGUUCUUGCCCAAUACACCCCAUCAUUAUUGUUAAAAUGUUUUUAGCUUUGUUUGUAGAAUUGCUUUAACUGGUUUCAUCUCUGGGAGCUACACUUUGAAAUAUAACUUUAGCAACAUUUUACUAUACUUUUUCACAACCCAGAGCAGUACUAUUUUAUGCUUAGUGGUUAAACUAAUUCCAUAAAUCUUUUGCAACUAUCCUCUAUUCUUUUUCUUGUAAUUUUUACCUGGGAAGGUUUUUACUGAUAAUCAUCCUAUCCUGAGUCAUCCCACAAACCAAUCUGUCUCACUAAUCAUUGCUUCUAACCUACAGACUAAGCAUAACUUCUGCUAAAUGAUCUUUGAUAAGAUGCUAUGACUCUAUAAAGUCUUUGAUAUUCAUGUCUAAAUUUAAUCACUUGUAGAUUUUCAUAGAAUCAAUCUUUCACUUCUACAAUUGGGAGUAUUUAUAAGUUGUUUAUCUUAAACAGUUCCUCUAUCACGCUUUUCACGUUAAAUAAAGCAAUCCCUUCAAAUC
rnacentral:lncRNA from 1 species